AGGAUAGUAGUUCAGUGGUAGAGCUCUUGUCUGGCACACAUGAAGCUCCAGGUUCAAUUCCCUAUACUU
rnacentral:tRNA from 1 species